AGCGAACGCUGGCGGCAGGCCUAACACAUGCAAGUCGAACGGCAGCACAGGAGAGCUUGCUCUCUGGGUGGCGAGUGGCGGACGGGUGAGGAAUACAUCGGAAUCUACCUUUUCGUGGGGGAUAACGUAGGGAAACUUACGCUAAUACCGCAUACGACCUACGGGUGAAAGUGGGGGACCGCAAGGCCUCACGCGAUUAGAUGAGCCGAUGUCCGAUUAGCUAGUUGGCGGGGUAAUGGCCCACCAAGGCGACGAUCGGUAGCUGGUCUGAGAGGAUGAUCAGCAACACUGGAACUGAGACACGGUCCAGACUCCUACGGGAGGCAGCAGUGGGGAAUAUUGGACAAUGGGCGCAAGCCUGAUCCAGCCAUACCGCGUGGGUGAAGAAGGCCUUCGGGUUGUAAAGCCCUUUUGUUGGGAAAGAAAUCCUGUCGAUUAAUACUCGGUGGGGAUGACGGUACCCAAAGAAUAAGCACCGGCUAACUUCGUGCCAGCCGCCGCAGUAACAC
rnacentral:rRNA from 1 species